ACGUAGGUGGCAAGCGUUGUCCAGAAUUACUGGGCGUAAAGGGCGCGUAGGCGGCACCUUAAGUCAGAUGUGAAAACCCAGGGCUUAACCUUGGAACUGCAUUUGAAACUGAGGAGCUAGAGUGCCGGAGAGGAAAGCGGAAUUCCUAGUGUGGGGUUAAAAGGGUAGAAAUUAGGGGGAACACCAGUGGCGAAGGCGGCUUUCUGGACGGUAACUGACGCUGAGGCGCGAAAGCGUGGGGAGCAAACAG
rnacentral:rRNA from 1 species